UCCCUGGUGGCUUGGAGGGUAAAGAAUCUACCUGCAAUGCAGGAGACCCAAGUUCAAUCCCUGGUUUGGGAA
rnacentral:tRNA from 1 species